AUUGAACGCUGGCGGCAGGCCUAACACAUGCCAGUCGAGCGGAUGAAGGGAGCUUGCUCCUGGAUUCAGCGGCGGACGGGUGAGUAAUGCCUAGGAAUCUGCCUGGUAGUGGGGGAUAACGUCCGGAAACGGGCGCUAAUACCGCAUACGUCCUGAGGGAGAAAGUGGGGGAUCUUCGGACCUCACGCUAUCAGAUGAGCCUAGGGCGGAUUAGCUAGUUGGUGGGGUAAAGGCCUACCAAGGCGACGAUCCGUAACUGGUCUGAGAGGAUGAUCAGUCACACUGGAACUGAGACACGGUCCAGACUCCUACGGGAGGCAGCAGUGGGGAAUAUUGGACAAUGGGCGAAAGCCUGAUCCAGCCAUGCCGCGUGUGUGAAGAAGGUCUUCGGAUUGUAAAGCACUUUAAGUUGGGAGGAAGGGCAGUAAGUUAAUACCUUGCUGUUUUGACGUUACCAACAGAAUAAGCACCGGCUAACUUCGUG
rnacentral:rRNA from 1 species